UCACCUUGGAACGUUUAUUUAUUUUUUAACCCUAGAAGCCCAAUCUACGUAAAUUUUACGUAUACCACGGCGAAAUAUCUCUGUCUCUUUCACGUUUACCGUCCGAUCGUCGCUAACUUCUGAACCAACUCAGUGGCCAUUAAGACCUCGCAGGACGCAGUUGCGUUAUCUCGGUUGAAUACAAAAUGGAAUCCCGUCAACAGCUAAACCAGGACGAAAUAGUUGCAAUUUUAGAAAAUGAUGACGAUUAUUCUCCGCUGGAUUCGGACUCCGAGGAAGAAGAUCUUGUAGUUGAAGAUGAUGUCUGGAGUGAUAACGAGGACGCGAUGAUCGACUUCAUUGAAGAUACAAGAAGGCAAGAGGGCUCCGAUAAAAAUAUUGCUUCUCGGAAAUUGCCUAAUCUUGAGGUAACUUCAUUGACUAGACACAGAAUAAUUUGUUUGCCUCAGCGGUCAAUACGUGGAAAAAACAACCAUAUAUGGUCAACUACAAAGGGACGUACGACGGGAAGGACUUCGGCUAUCAAUAUUAUACGCACAAAUAGAGGACCAACGCGAAUGUGUCGGAAUAUUGUUGAUCCAUUGCUCUGUUUUCAACUUUAUAUAACAGACGAGACAAUAUAACAAAUGUUUUGAAAAAUGUGGUACCGCCAUCUCCGGAAAAUAUUAGUGAUGAGCCAGAACCAAAGAAACGACGCUAUUGUGGAUUUUGUUCAUAUAAAAAAAAGCGGAUGACCAAAGCGCAGUGUUGCAAAUGCUUAAAGGCUAUAUGUGGAGAACACAAUAUUGAUGUUUGUCAAGACUGCAUUUAAAGACUGUUUUUUUCUAAGAGACUUAUAUAGUAUUAUUACAAGUUUAUUUGAUUUUAUGAAAACAAUUAAAACUACUUGAUUUUUUUUUAUAAUUACGUAAUUUUAAGAAAUAGUGUUAGAAGCUUGAUGUUUUUGUUGAUUUUUUUCCAAGAUUUGAUUAAAGUGCCAUAAUUAUAUUAAUAAAGAGUAUUUUUAACUUAAAAA